CUGUGACGUUGUGGUCAGGUUAGGGUUAGAUGUACUCACACUGUGACGUUGUGGUCAGGUUAGAUGUACUCACACUGUGACGUUGUGGUCAGGUUAGGGUUAGAUGUACUCACACUGUGACGUUGUGGUCAGGUUAAGGUUAGAUGUACUC